AUUGAACGCUGGCGGAAUGCUUUACACAUGCAAGUCGAACGGCAGCACGGGGCAACCUGGUGGCGAGUGGCGAACGGGUGAGUAAUACAUCGGAACGUGCCCAAUCGUGGGGGAUAACGUAGCGAAAGUUACGCUAAUACCGCAUACGAUCUACGGAUGAAAGCGGGGGAUCGCAAGACCUCGCGCGAAUGGAGCGGCCGAUGUCAGAUUAGGUAGUUGGUGGGGUAAAGGCUCACCAAGCCAACGAUCUGUAGCUGGUCUGAGAGGACGACCAGCCACACUGGAACUGAGACACGGUCCAGACUCCUACGGGAGGCAGCAGUGGGGAAUUUUGGACAAUGGGCGCAAGCCUGAUCCAGCCAUUCCGCGUGCAGGACGAAGGCCUUCGGGUUGUAAACUGCUUUUGUACGGAACGAAAAGGUCUUCUCUAAUACAGAGGGCCCAUGACGGUACCGUAAGAAUAAGCACCGGCUAACUACGUG
rnacentral:rRNA from 1 species